AGAGUUUGAUCCUGGCUCAGAACGAACGCUGGCGGCGUGCCUAACACAUGCAAGUCGAACGUGAAAGUCCUUCGGGAUGAGUAAAGUGGCGCACGGGUGAGUAAUGCGUAGAUAAUCUGCCUGGUGAUCUGGGAUAACAUCUCGAAAGGGGUGCUAAUACCGGAUAAGCCCACGGAGUCUUCGGACUUUGCGGGAAAAGGGGGGGACCUUCGGGCCUUCUGUCACCAGAUGAGUCUACGUACCAUUAGCUAGUUGGUGGGGUAAGAGCCCACCAAGGCUACGAUGGUUAGCUGGUCUGAGAGGAUGAUCAGCCACACUGGAACUGAGACACGGUCCAGACUCCUACGGGAGGCAGCAGUGGGGAAUUUUGCGCAAUGGGGGAAACCCUGACGCAGCAACGCCGCGUGAGUGAUGAAGGCCUUCGGGUCGUAAAGCUCUGUCAGAGGGAAAGAAA
rnacentral:rRNA from 1 species